rnacentral:rRNA from 1 species
AUUGAACGCUGGCGGCAGGCCUAACACAUGCAAGUCGAGCGAGUGGCGGACGGGUGAGUAAUGUCUGGGAAACUGCCUGAUGGAGGGGGAUAACUCCUGGAAACGGUAGCUAAUACCGCAUACCAUCAGAUGUGCCCAGAUGGGAUUAGCUAGUAGGUGGGGUAAUGGCUCACCUAGGCGACGAUCCCUAGCUGGUCUGAGAGGAUGACCAGCCACACUGGAACUGAGACACGGUCCAGACUCCUACGGGAGGCAGCAGUGGGGAAUAUUGCACAAUGGGCGCAAGCCUGAUGCAGCCAUGCCGCGUGUAUGAAGAAGGCCUUCGGGUUGUAAAGUACUUUCAGCGAGGAGGCGUUACUCGCAGAAGAAGCACCGGCUAACUCCGUGCCAGCAGCCGCGGUAAUAC